rnacentral:rRNA from 1 species
ACGUAGGGGGCAAGCGUUGUCCGGAAUUACUGGGCGUAAAGCGCACGCAGGCGGUUCGUUAAGUCGGAUGUGAAAGAACGGGGCUCAACCCCGGUUUGCGUUCGAUACUGGCGGACUGGAGUGUCGGGGAGGGAAGGGGAAUUCCCGGUGUAGCGGUGACAUGCGGGGAGACCGGGGAGGACAACGGUGGCGAGGGCGGGGACCUGGCCGGCUUAGGUCCCUCAUGUGCUAAAGCUGUGGGAACAUACGG